UAUUUAAAAUAAAGAACCAGGACUUCCCUGGUGGUUCAGUGUUUGAGACUUUGUCUUCCAAUGCAGAUGGGUGGGUUCGAUCCCUGGUCAGGGAGCUAAGACAUGCCUCACGGCCAAAAAACCAAAACAUAAAACAGAAGCAAUAUUGUAACAAAUUCAAU